CAAGGGUUGGUGUUGAGCUUCAGAUCCUGCCCUCUGGGGACCCCUCUCCUCCUUCCCGACUUGGGAGCAGGAGAAGGCAAGCAAGGCUGGGGCGGGUGCGCAGCCGAGGGUCCCCAGGCCGAGCUCCUCAUGUAUAAAACAGGGGGGCUUUUCCUCCGCAGCUCAUUAGAACCUCUGGGCGGAAAGACUGGCCCCGUCAUUUCCCUUGCAAAUGAAGCUCCCGCUCCGCCGCCUUUUCCACUUUAAUACCUCAUCAACCCAGCAGGCGACCCGGAGCCCGCUGCUUGACUCCGCCCGUCGCCGGGCAGCUGUUUGGCACAUUUCAAUUAGCGCGACGCGUCCCUGGUAAACAGCCGAGGCCGGCUGCGGGCACCUGCAGACCCUGACCCCCGACGCCGCCCCGAGACCCUGAAGACGCGGCUGCGACCCCACCGGUAAUUAGGAGGUUUUCAAGGCCGGUGUCCCCCAAGCCCAGACCAGCUGGAGAGCUCAGCCCCGCGGUCCCGCCGCGGUCUCCACCGCCAACCUCUCAGAAGUCAGGGAAUCCGCUGUCAGGGUUGUCAGGCCACCUCACGUCCUGGUAUUGUGUGCCCUGCAUCCAGUCUUGCCCGAAAGGUGGGAUUCCUCAAACAUGGCAUCUGUUCCGGGCCUGAAACAGGCACAGGAACUGCGGAGCCUUUCUCUAUGAAACACCAGAAAACCAAAGAAACCGCUCUGUCACCCCAGCACUUUGGGAAGCCAAGGCAGUGGAUCACUUGAGGUCAGGAGUUCAAGACCAGCCUGGCCAACAUGGUGAAACCCUGUCUCUACUAAAAAUACAAAAAAAUAGCUAGGAAUGGUGGUGCAUGCCUGUAACCCCAGCUAUUUGAGAGGCUGAGGCAGGAGAAUGGCUUGAACUCGGGAGGUGGAGAUUGCAGUGAGUCAGGAUUGCAUCACUGCACUCCAGCCUG
rnacentral:lncRNA from 13 species